GACGAACGCUGGCGGCGUGCUUAACACAUGCAAGUCGAGCGGUAAGGCCCUUUCGGGGGUACACGAGCGGCGAACGGGUGAGUAACACGUGGGUGACCUGCCCUCAGCUCUGGGAUAAGCCUGGGAAACCGGGUCUAAUACUGGAUAUGACUCCAUGACGCAUGUUGUGGGGUGGAAAGCCUUGUGCGGCUGAGGAUGGGCCCCGCGGCCUAUCAGCUUGUUGGUGGGGUGANGGCCUACCAAGGCGACGACGGGUAGCCGGCCUGAGAGGGCGACCGGCCACACUGGGACUGAGACACGGCCCAGACUCCUACGGGAGGCAGCAGUGGGGAAUCUUGCGCAAUGGGCGAAAGCCUGACGCAGCGACGCCGCGUGAGGGAUGACGGCCUCGGUUGUAAC
rnacentral:rRNA from 1 species